GAAAAUUCCUGUCAAUAAAGAAAUUUA
rnacentral:piRNA from 1 species